CCUACGGGAGGCAGCAGUGAGGAAUAUUGGUCAAUGGACGCAAGUCUGAACCAGCCAUGCCGCGUGCAGGAAGACGGCUCUAUGAGUUGUAAACUGCUUUUGUACGAGGGUAAACGCAGAUACGCGUAUCUGUCUGAAAGUAUCGUACGAAUAAGGAUCGGCUAACUCCGUGCCAGCAGCCGCGGUAAUACGGAGGAUUCAAGCGUUGUUCGGAAUCACUGGGCGUAAAGCGUGCGUAGGCUGUUUCGUAAGUCGUGUGUGAAAGGCGCGGGCUCAACCCCGUCGUGCCGUUGAAACUGAUGUUCUUGAGUGGGCGAGGAGUAUGCGGAAUGCGUGGUGUAGCGGUGAAAUGCGUAGAUAUCGCGCAGAACUCCGGUUGCGAAGGCAGCAUACCGGCGCCCAACUGACGCUGAAGCACGAAGGCGUGGGUAUCGAACAGGAUUAGAUACCCGAGUAGUC
rnacentral:rRNA from 1 species